ensembl:lncRNA
UGUUCACCUCUUAAAACCCAAAAACACACCGCAGUAGCACCCUAAACUAAAACUACCAAUGGGUUUCCUGUUUUCCUUUCUGAACAAUUCAAAGGUCCCUCUCUAUCUCCCCACACAUCCAUCAACCACUGGAACACAUCUCCAAAGUUCUGCCGGGCCAGCUCAGCUUCCCCUCAGAAGAAGUGCCGCCACCUGCCAGAUGAAGGAGCCUUUUGAGAGCUGGCAUCGUGAUUGGACUGUACUUUGGUCUGUUCCAAUCCAGCUUCAGCUCCAGAGACGGCAGGCGGGACGAGUCAACGGAGGCCGGGUGGACGAAGGCAUGCAGCUGAGUACAAUCCAGAAAACAACAGAGGAGG